AGUGAACGCUGGCGGCGUGCCUAAUACAUGCAAGUCGAACGGAGUGGCGCGAGGGUGAGUAAUGUAGAGCUAAUCUGCACUACCAUAGAGGACAACAGUUGGAUACGGAUGCUAAUACUCUAAAGGUUAGGAUGAGGCUAAAUUGUAUCAGCUAAUUGGUGAUGUAAUGGCUCACCAAGGCUAUGACGCAUAACUGGGCUGAGAGAAUGAUCAGUCACACUGGCACUGAGACACGGUCCAGACUCCUACGGGAGGCAGCAGUAGUGAAUAUUGCGCAAUGGUGGAAAACCUGAAGCAGCAACGCCGCGUGGAGGAUGACACUUUUCGUAGCGUAAACUCCUUUUGUUAGGGAAGCGGUACCUAACUAAUAAGCACCGGCUAACUCCGGGCCAGCCGCCGCGGUAAUUC
rnacentral:rRNA from 1 species